GGUCCAAAAGUGAAGUAGAGGAGAUCGGAGAGAUCAUCUGAUCCUACCAAACUACUCUACUUCGAGUUUGUGCCC
rfam:Haemonchus contortus, ISE/inbred ISE, WGS project CAVP01000000 data, contig: Hcontortus_49823